CGCUUGUUAUUGAUUUGACAGUAACAUAAACAGUAGGAAUAUGUACAAAACACAAUCUAUUCGUCUAUAUUAGUCAAAUAAAUCAUCAUUAUUGUGCAAAGAAUUAGAAAAGCAAUGGCCAUUCAUGCCUCAAAUUAAAGGAUAAUAUAAUUUCAAAAAUAAAUGAAUAAAUCGGAGGAGAUUAUGAAAUUUACCCACUCUGAAUUUCUACGCAUCAACCUAAACUCUGAGUUUAAUCAACUGAUCAAACUCUGUUACAAGUCGAGAAAAAAUAAUAAUAAUAUAAAAUAAAAAAAAGCCUUCCCUUCAUUUUCAUCAGUGAGGGAAGAAUGAACUAACUGCCACUGCCACACCAAACAGCAAGUGCAAAAUCGACUGCAUACGCAUCACACUCACUCACGUACUUGACACUCCUAAUCUGUAUCUACCAUUGGAAAACAAAGCCACUCAUCAAACUACUCAAGGAAUUCCUUUCUCAGCAUAACUAUUAACCAGAGCCAGCGCGUUACUUGUAAACUUUUUCACUUUCGCUGCUCGGUAACACACCUCAGAUUUCACCGGCCCUUCCGGAACAUCCUCAAACCCGUCCGUACACGUUUCUUCGUCCGUCAAAGCAGCGCUCAUCCACGUUUGCACGUUGCUCAUUUGGAACCUCAGUGCCUCUGCCGACGAUCCCGCUGCUCCGAGCUGCCGCAUUUGCUUGAGCGAGCCUCGAAUCUCGUCUACAGCGUCGCCGAAGUUGGAGAAGCAGUCGUGUAGGGCGGCGGCUGCGCGAUGGUCGGAGCCGUAGUCGGAUUGGCGGGAGAGGUUAGAGACGUAGGCGGUCAUGCGUCUGGCUCUCGAAAGGGUUACGCCUAUGGCGACUCGAGCUAGGCGGGCUGGAUUUUGCUGGAUAGCAGUGGCAUAGCGGGAAAGGGAAGUGAAGCAUAUUUCAGGAUACAAUGUUGCGCUGCAGCUUGUACGGAUGUAAUCGGUGCUGUUAGAUUGAGAGGCGGGGCUGGGGGAAGCUACGGUGGCGAUUGGUUGGAGGUGGAGGAGUAAGGUGGAGAAGAGGAUGGAGAGAAGAAGAGGCCGUUGCGUAUGUGUUUCCAUUUUCGCCACGCUUUUGUUAUUGGUAUUUUGAGGAUGACCUGAGCUGAGCGAGUG
rnacentral:misc_RNA from 1 species